CUGUGUACCGGCAGCUUCACUC
rnacentral:miRNA from 1 species